rnacentral:lncRNA from 1 species
GGUAAUACCAUUUACACAAAAGCAUAUUAAGAUAAUUCAAUGAACCAUAUUUACAAUGUUUAUAAACUUGCUAGGGUCCAGAUAUAUACCCUGGUUGUGAAAAAUUUUUGAAUAUAUAAAGUACAAGCCAGAAUGAUAGCAAGAUGGUAGGCCAAUAUUUUCCAUUAUUCUUAAGAGACCAUAUUAUAUUUUGAAUCCAUGUGGCUUUGGA